UACGUAGGGUGCGAGCGUUGUCCGGAAUUAUUGGGCGUAAAGAGCUCGUAGGCGGUGUGUCGCGUCGGCCGUGAAAACCUGGGGCUUAACUCUGGGCGUGCGGUCGAUACGGGCAUCACUAGAGUUCGGCAGGGGAGACUGGAAUUCCUGGUGUAGCGGUGAAAUGCGCAGAUAUCAGGAGGAACACCGGUGGCGAAGGCGGGUCUCUGGGCCGAUACUGACGCUGAGGAGCGAAAGCAUAGGUAGCGAACAGG
rnacentral:rRNA from 1 species